rnacentral:rRNA from 1 species
AGCGAACGCUGGCGGCAGGCCUAACACAUGCAAGUCGAACGAACCUUUCGGGGUUAGUGGCGGACGGGUGAGUAACACGUGGGAACGUGCCUUUAGGUUCGGAAUAACUCAGGGAAACUUGUGCUAAUACCGAAUGUGCCCUUCGGGGGAAAGAUUUAUCGCCUUUAGAGCGGCCCGCGUCUGAUUAGCUAGUUGGUUGAGGUAAUGGCUCACCAAGGCGACGAUCAGUAGCUGGUCUGAGAGGAUGAUCAGCCACAUUGGGACUGAGACACGGCCCAAACUCCUACGGGAGGCAGCAGAGGGGAAUCUUGCGCAAUGGGCGAAAGCCUGACGCAGCCAUGCCGCGUGAAUGAUGAAGGUCUUAGGAUUGUAAAAUUCUUUCACCGGGGACGAUAAUGACGGUACCCGGAGAAGAAGCCCCGGCUAACUUCGUG